CUGGAGAGCAGGACUGCAGAAAGGAACUGGUCAAUGGCAAGUCGAACAUAAGUUAGCAGUGCCCUGGCAGCCAGGAGGGCCAACCAUGUCCUGGGGGGGAUCAGGCAAAGCAUCACCAGCCAGUCGAGGGAGGGGAUUGUCCCACUCUGCUCUGCACUGAUGCAGCCUCACCUUGAAUUUGUGGCAGCUUUGGGUGCCACACUAUAAGAAAGAUAUGAAGUCAUUAUAGAGUGUGCAAAGGAGAGCUAUAAAGAUGGUGAAGGGCCUUGAGGGGAAGCCAUAUGAGGAGCAGCUGAGGUCACUUGGUCUGUUCAGCCUG